rnacentral:tRNA from 1 species
GCCUUGAUUGUGAAAUGGUAGACACGCGAGACUCAAAAUCUCGUGCUGAAGAGCGUGGAGGUUCGAGUCCUCUUCAAGGCA